rnacentral:misc_RNA from 1 species
GAUGAAGAACGUAUCGAAAUGCGAUAAGUAAUGUGAAUUGCAGAAUUCAGUGAAUCAUCGAAUCUUUGAACGCACAUUGCGCCCGCCAGCAUUCUGGCGGGCAUGCCUGUUCGAGCGUCAUUUCAACCCUCGAGCCCCCCCCGGGGGCCUCGGUGUUGGGGGACGGCACACCAGCCGCCCCCGAAAUGCAGUGGCGACCCCGCCGCAGCCUCCCCUGCGUAGUAGCACACACCUCGCACCGGAGCGCGGAGGCGGUCACGCCGUAAAACGCCCAACUUUCUUAGAGUUGACCUCGGAUCAGGUAGGAAUACCCGCUGAACUUAAGCAUAUCAAUAAGCGGAGGA